rnacentral:rRNA from 1 species
UACAGAGGUCUCAAGCGUUGUUCGGAUUCAUUGGGCGUAAAGGGUGCGUAGGUGGCGUGGUAAGUCGGGUGUGAAAUUUCGGAGCUUAACUCCGAAACUGCAUUCGAUACUGCCGUGCUUGAGGACUGGAGAGGAGACUGGAAUUUACGGUGUAGCGGUGAAAUGCGUAGAUAUCGGGAGGAACACCAGUGGCGAAGGCGACUACCUGGCCUGUUCUUGACGCUGAGGCGCGAAAGCUAGGGUAGCAAACGGG